AAUAAAAAAACACCAAUUUAAUAAAAAAAAACCACUUUGUACAGAGUCAAGAGCUCAUAAUUUUAAAAUUGAGUAAAAGCACUGCCAUCUAGCAGUGUAGGUCCACAUUAGCUGAUACACCAUGGAAAUUUUUUCCAAAAGUGUGGCUUUCUGUCAAGGAUAACGUGACUUCUCAUCUUUCUCCUUGUGUAGAUUUCUUUUAGAUAUAAUUAUAUAUUACCUAAUAUUAUAUUUAUUCCUAUUUCCUUUUCAACUAGAUUACAAGUUGCUUACAGGUAAAGAUUCUGUUUAUUCUUCUAUCACUUGUAGCAUAAUGCCAGAUCUUAAUUUUUUAAAAAACACAGACUUUUUGUAUAGUCAACAUAUUCCAGAUAUUGUGCAUAUAAUUUAUGAUAUCUACUUGGUGUUAAUAUUUUUUAUUACUCUCUGAUUUUUCUGCUGAGUUCAGGAUAAUCGUGGCAUUAUGGUAUUUCACCUUUAGCAAAGCCUGAGCUUACAUAAUAAGUACCAUUUGGUAAUUACUAUAAAAAAAGAGUAGAAUAUAGUCACUCAAAUCAUUAGAAAAGCUAACAUACCAAGGGCAAAUUCUGAGCCAAGCCAUAUUCUAAAUGCUUUACAUACAUUACUCAUUUAAUCCUCAUAAUAACUCUGUGAGAUAGUGACCAUUAUUUUCCUCCUUUUGCAUUUAGAGAAAUAGUGGCAGAGAGAAAUAAUGCGCUGAAGGUCACACUGUUAUGAGAAGCAUUGAGGUGCCCUUUCAACUUGGGAAAUAUGAUUCCCAAGUCAAUAUCCUUAACCCCUAGCUGCUGGCUUUUGGUAAAUAAUAUAAUUGACUUUUGAAAUGGCUCUCUAGCUUUAAAGUAAAAGAGUCCUUUCUAUCUAAAUGCAACUACUUAAAAUUCCAGAAGUAGAGUUAUUGCCAUAUACACUGCACAAUUAAACAUGUCUCAGCUUUUCACCUACUUCAAAGAUAACUAAUAUUUCUACUUUAUGGUAUGCAUAACAAAUACUUUUUUUAUCCUUUAUUUAAAUGCGAGACUUGAGAUAAGUGCAUGAACAUAUCUCUGCAUAUUAGGCUGGGAGAGGCGGAACCCAGGAAAACAAAUUACUCUAACAAAGCAUCUUGGCAGUGUAAUGGUCUAUUUCCAGCAAAGAGCAAAAUAAGCCUUUAUAUGACAUGCCCCUAUUUGAGAUAAUCUUUUAUGUUUCUUGAUUAACAGUCCAAAUAAAUCAAUAUGAGUGAAAUUUAAGAACAAAAAGAUAAGCAAAAAAACCCUUUAAUUGUCUUUUCUAUCAAAAAGUAUGUAGUUGUUAUUUAUAACCACAAAAGAGUAUUAAUUUUCACAAAAGCCUUGAGAAGCAACAUAUUCAGCAGCAAUAGAUUCACAUAAUGAUGAAAUGCAAAAACAAAAAUCUACAUUAAAAGGAUGUUAGAUGCCAGACUGAAACAGCCAGAAUAAAAAAAAUUCAGAGUACAUCUCUCACUAGGUAGCCGACUCAAUGUUGAGAGCCAUCUGGUCUCUUUUCAUGCUCCAUGUAUAUCGUCCUCACCAACGUAGACAUGGACAUGGUUUUUGGUCCCCUAAUUAAGUGGAAUUGAUGUGGAAUGGUAGGACCAAGCUGCACAACCAUUUGCAUUAUUUUUUGACAAGGUAAUUGCCCGUCAAUAAUUAGGUUUCAAAAGGAUCUUGCACCAAGGGAUUGGAUACAUUUGCUUGAAGAAUGGCUGCUUUCAUUUACUAAAUCUUAACUUCACAAUAUCUUCGAUAAAUCAAAGGGAUAGAUACCAUUGCUGCAUUACAGAUGAAGAAAUCAUGAUAUGUAGGUGUGGAUUUAAAGGCCAAACGCCAGUUCUACAAUGAGAAUGGACUUGGGAGUCAAGGAAGUCAAAAUAAAUUCAUCCCUCUACCACAUUGUAGCUAUUUGACCUUGAGAUAGCAAACAUAGUAUCUCUUAGUUUUAAUUCACUCAAUUAUAAAAUUAAAAUGAUGAAUAUCUAAGUGUUGGGCAUCAUCUACCAAGUUUUUGCUGCACUUCAACAAUCCAAAACCCUAAAAAGUUUGAUAACAAACACAUCGUCUUCUUUAUCUCUUAUCACCCAUCCUUAUUUCUUUUUGGAUCACUAAUUUGGUAAUUAGAGUUUUUUGUCACUCAUGCUAAACUUGGAAAUAUACUGUGUAAGCCUCAGUUCUCAGAUAGUCAAAACUAUGUAUUAGUCACAUCUCAAGUACUUUGGGAAUCUGUUCCUUAUUUCUCCCUUUGUUGACUUCCCCUUGCCUCUCAGUUAAGUCUUCCACAUCUUCAAUUAUGGAUUACAUCAAAAGUCUGUCAACAGGCCUGCUUCAUCCACUGCAAUCAACCACCAUACUGCUAACCUGUUGAUCAAAGUCAAAAGCAUGAACUCAAACUUCCUUUUAAAAAUCAUCUUUAUCUUUCAGUUAAAAAUAGUAGAAACAUCUUAAACACAGCACAAGGCUGUGGCCCCUUCAGCAUUACUUCCUCUUUUCCUCUAAUUCAGCCAAGGUGAUGUGCUUAGUAAUACUCCAGGCUCUUAGCUUCCCCCAUGUUUCUGCCUUUUGUUUGCUUGCCACUGAUUAAAUUCCCUCACCCUUAAAGAGUCACACUUUCACUUCAAUCUCUAAAGAAGGGAAAGUACAUUAUGUUGCUCAGCCUCAACAGUGCAUGUGCAAUACUCUCACACACACACAAACACAAGGAGAUGAACUUUACCAGUUUACUAAACAUCUAAAAAGAAGAAGCCUAUUUUGAGGAACCUAAACCCAUAUAUUCAGCUCUUUAUUUACCCAUCUCAGUGGAGGGUUCACUGGAAAGCUGAUUGUCUGAGGGAAGUCUGCUCCUUGUAAUAGUGCCCAAAGAGGACUUCUGUUGAUCUGAGUAUGAAGAAUGCAGACAGCUCUUAGAAGUGCUGAAAAUCUACCUCUUAACUGUCUUUGUAUCCUGACAGUCGCCAGUGCGUUCAAGUGGAGGGUAAAUGUCAGCAGCUGCAGCCUUGGGUUGGAAGUGAGGUUGAUGACUGUGAAUAUGUUGAUGGCAGAAAGAGAAGCUGAUAAGAGACUGGGAAAUGACAGCUCCUGGCCAGUACAGAAAUUAGCCAAAGUGGCAUGUAACUGGCAUCCCUGAUUUGGGCUGUUGUCCAGCUGUCCAUAGCCUUCUAAGUGCAUUGCAUACUGUUCUGACUUUUACUUGAAAAUGUUUAGGGUUUUGUUUUGUUUUGGAUGAGAGCUGCUUGGUGGAGGAAAAGAACACCCAGGAUAUCUUACGUGUUAACUUUGUAUAACAUGGUAUGUGAGUAACCAUCAGCUUUUAAAGUUCAUUAACUUCUUAGAUGUUUUCCCUUUAGUUAAAGUUGGGCUGCCCUUAAACUUCUCAGCAUCCACAUAAAUGCUAAAUUUUUCUUCACAGGGUGGGUGCAAUAUGCCUGGACUAGCUCAGACCGGUCUUGGGUCACAGACAAUAGCAUCAAAUUUACUUAAGGCCAUCUUUGAGUCUCAAAAAUGCCCCCAUUUAGACAGUAGAUAUUACGUUCACUCUAUUAAUAGGGGAAUAAAACAGACUUCAAAACUACCUGCACUGCUUGAAAAGAGAAAAUGAACAAAACCCAAUUUCCGUUUUGCAGAAAAAAACUCAGGAGUAUCGAAAGACUUUUCAGGGGGAAAGUGUUUGAGAUCUGUAAGUGAGGUCAAGGGUCACUCAAGUGAAGGGACUCUCUCAGCUUUCACACUUGCUAAGAUCCUGACCUGAGACUAGGAAGAUGGUGGCUGAUUAAGGAGCAGAAAAAAUGGUCAAUAUCUGCAGUGUGAGGAAAGGAGGGUGUUAUGAGGAAUUAGAUUAGAAAAGUCAGGGAAAGUCAGAGCAACAAGCCUCAGAAGCUAUGCCAAGGAUUUUCAAAUUGAUUCUAUGAGCAAUGACAAAAAAUAUUGCCGUACGUAAGUGAUGCUAAAACUGUAUUCUAUCUACUUAUAAAACAAAGACUACUCUGACAUCUCUGUGGAUAAUGGAUUAGGGUUGGUUUUGGUUGUGGACCUCAGUGGAAUGGUGCAGACCCCUUAACGAGAUGAAUGACAGCCCUCAUGAGGGGUUGUGCAAGUUUAGCUCCAGUGGUGGUUGUGUGGGAAAGUCAAUUGUUUAUUCUGGAGAGUUAAUGGGAAUCAAACUUUUUUUUUGUCCUGAGUGCUUCCAUUUAUAUCAAAGCAAAGAGAGAACUAGAAAUCAAUCUGUGGCAGGUAAAUAAUGACAUUGUUUUCUUUACUCUUUUUUUAAUUAAAAUUUUUAUUAUGUUAUCAUUGACAUAUAACAUCGUGUUAGCUUUAGGUGUACAAUAUAAUGAUUGGAUAUUUGUAUUCAUUGUGAACAAACAGUAUUUGUCUUCCUCUGUCUGAUUUUAUUUCACUUAACUUCAUGCCCUCAGGUUUCAUCCGUGUUGUUGCAAACAGUUGGCAUUUUUAAAAAUAGGUUUUUAGGUUUUUUGAAUUAAAGGAUAGUUGAUGUAUAAUAUUAUGUAAGUUACAGGUGUACAAUAGAGUAAUUUACAAUCUACUAUUAAUCAAUUUGCCUGGAAUUGCUGAGAGAGCAGCUUCAGAGAGAGCAGUUGGUCUGUUUGCAUUGAGCAGACCAGACCAACAGGAGAAAGCGGGGGGCCGGUGGGAAAGGAGGGUCUUCCUGGGGGCACAGCCUACCUCUGGAGCCAUGAGCAUUAUCAGAGCAGCCCUCUAUCCACCUUAGAGCACCUCUUCCCCUCUCCCAAUCUGAUCAAAGAGUCUGUCUAGGACCAGAGUGAGAAGCAACUUUCCUGUCCUGACAAUUUAACACUCAAGUGAACUCAGAUGAAUUUACAGCAGGAGCCACCUCUGUGUACAAAUGAGUAUCUAAAUGUUACCAGUUUUGUGAGCCUUUGGAUCUUAACUUGUUUUGAGGAUACAAAUUAAACUCUGUUAAAAUAAUUUUUCCUGUACCUUGAAGCACCUAAAUAUCAGUAUGUGUGACAUACAAUAGACAGUAGCAAAAUAGGGCAUCUGUGUAGUCUUACAUAUGCAGACAUAGUUCCUAAGGAAAGUAUUCUUGAUAUUUUUCAUUUUCGCCUCUGUGAAAACUAAUUCAGGUCCUAUGGGAAGGAAAGUAUGAUCAAAAGACUUUCCUCUGCUGCUACUGUGUCUCCAACUAUAUCCUAGCCUCUGAUUAGGAUUAAAUGUUAUAUUGAUCCAAGCCAGUUUUGUUUCAACUACAAUCUUGGCUGCAUAUUGCAUGGAACCAUGACUAUUUCAUCUCAGUGAUAUCUGUGUGAUAUUGUAAAUAAAAAUCUCUUGGACUUUAAUGUGUUUCAGUGAAAAGUAAAUCAGAAGCUCAAAUCACUAAUGCAAUACACGAAAAGAAUACAUCUAUUAAUAACUGCUAUCUGGUGGUAUUUUAUUAUAUUUAUUUAGUAGAAAGAAAAUUUGUUAUGACACCUAAUCCUUAAAACUAUUGUCAUAGACAUUAAUUUACAUGCAUCUCAUUGUAGUCACUGAGGGGAAAGUACUGGAAUCUACAGCCAUGACCUGGAUAAUGUCGCCUGUAAUUUCGGUUUUUGCUCCCAAACAUGAAACUUGUUAGCUUUUGUGGUUUCAUUGCACAUGCACUGAACAGAAAGGCACUUAAUUAUUACAACCAAGGAGGAUUCUAAUUUUUUAGUAAAAAAAGAAACUCAAUGAGAUGAAGAAAAAGUUUUUAAAGUUCGCCUGUAAUUUUGCUUUGUAUAGCAAUGUAUCAUCCUUUAUAUUAUUUACUGGAGACCAAUAAAUGAUAUGCUUUAUU
rnacentral:lncRNA from 1 species